rnacentral:lncRNA from 1 species
AAAACAAUGCCUUCCAGAAAGCUUCCUCCACACCAUGCCUGCAAUCUAUGGGAGUGUGAUCAAGGGUGGCGUGCGGCUCUGCCAACCUUUACUUCUCCUAUUGAAAUGCAAUGUAGAAGUCUAGGGGGGAGGGCUCUUAGAAGCUUAAGAGGAUUAAGGGUCUCCUUCCUCACUUUUCCGGUGUUAUUUGCCACCCUUCUGUAGAUGCAGUGUGUUUCAGAAGGCAUUUACCUGCCCACUGAUCUCCAAAAGGACAUGCUUUCUGAAGUCUCUGAGUCUGCUCACAGUAACCCAUUGCCCAGAAUGACCCUCUCUGCUUCUUCACCCAGGGCAUCUGACUCAUUCUACAUGAUGUGGCUCACCUACCUGCGAUACAUCCCACAAGUUGCCAGUAACAAUGAACUGCCUACGCUCUGUGCCCCCAGUUUGCAUCAUAGGCUGGGAGCUGGUGUUAGCCAGUUUAUUCUGGAAGCUAUUCCUGCUGCAAAGAAUAGAAGACCUCAAGGAAUGGACAACAGACUGCACGGAUCUACAUCACCACGUGAAAACACGGCCGGACUCUCAACAACUGUGAGAUUUUAGACAGAAGAUCAAAGCAGCAAAGCAUCUUCUCAGGAGCUCGUGGUACACAACAUGCCUGUGUUUGAGGUGAGCAGGCUGAGACAGUCAGGGGGCCUGAAGAAGGGAAUUGGAUUCCUGGAGAAAAGCCCCUUCCUAUUUUUGCUGCUAAGGCCAAAUGUCAUGUAAAGAAACAGGAUGAGCUACUAGAAAAUCAAAACUGUAUGAAAAAUGUACGUGUUUUAAUAUAGCAUUUUGUAAAAUUUUCAGAGAGAAAAAUAUGUCACAAUAAAGGCUGAGUAAAAAAAAGUCUAAGUUCCAACCAGCAUAAGAAAAAAAUAACCAAAUUUCAAAUUUCAGAGGUGCAUGGAACAAUUACUGAGGAAAGAUGAUUGGAAUAAGAAAUACACUGAACUCAGGGAACUAACAAAAUCAUAGGUGAAAUCUUUGAAGGAUAUAUAAGAAACUCCUGCUUGCAGAGAGAAGGAAAUUAAAGUUUUAAAACAUUGCAUUUUAUAGUUGAAGCUGAUCACUGAAGUGAGAAGUGUUUUUUUUUUUUUUUUUUGAGAUGGAGUUUCACUCUCAUUGCCCAGGCUGGAGUGUGAUGGAGCAAUCUCCAUUCACUGCAACCUCUACCGCCAGGGUUCAAGCAAUUCUCCUGCCUCAGCCUCUCGAAUAGGGAACACAGGCACGUGCCACCACGCCUGGCUAAUAUUUUGAGUUUUUAGUAGAGAUGGGGUUUCUACACGUUGGUUAGGCUGGUCUCGAACUCCUGACCUCUGGUGAUCCACUGGCUUUGGCCUCCCAAAGUUCUGAUGGGCAAAUGUUUGCCAAAUUCUUUGUUUGCAACAUAUGGUGACUGAUGAGGGGUGAUGUAGGCAUGACAUUCAACCAAAAUUCCACCAGAAUGCAAAAGAAAAAACCUUACAGCAGAAAGCAGAGAGAUUCUUAAUGACCUCUAUGGAGAGAUAUGCAUGGUUAAAAGAAGCUGAUUCAGGACUGGUAUAAAUAGGAAAAGAAAUGACAGAAGCUACCAGCUGCAGAGGAAAUGAAAAUUUACAAGUAGAGAGUGAAGAAAUGUUGAAGGAAUUAUGGCCAACAGCGAGAUCUCACACCACCCCAGACCAUUCUUCGUGGUGAGAAGACUCAUG